UGCAGUCAGUCCGUAAACUCUCUCUUCUCAGGUAAACCUUGGAAGACUCCCUUCAGUGCUGGCCUGUCUCAGGAGUGUACAGGACAGAUGGAAGCAAAAGCAAAAGGCAAAGAUGGAGGAAAAUACAGGAUUCAAAGACUGCUCCCCAUACUCAAAAGUGAAGUCAGAAACCCAGUCACCAUGCUGUGAGGAAGCCAGAGUUGCAUGGAGAGACCACGUAUAGGUGUUCCACUGACAGUUCCAGCCGCAGUCUGGCAGACAGCCAGCAUCAACUGUUGGACAUUACUGAAGCAAAGUAGCAAAGAUUUAUCUGAGUUCUGAAGACACUGUUUCCCUAGCAGGAAAUGAAACUGCCAAUGUUUCACAAAGUGCUUAAGUUGAUGAAGAAAUCAUGCUGAUUCACCAGAAGAAAAUGGUCUUAAUCGUAAUCAACUGAACACUUGUGGGAAAUCUCAGCCAAGAACCUUGAAAGGUAGAGAAAAAAUUAUUUUUCCUCACUGACACUGGCUUAACUCUCAGAGAACUCCCUCAGGAGUUGGACUUCACUGAAUUAUCUUUGGUUUGGUGCCUAGAAGUUUUUACACUUUGAGCCUUGUUUAGAGUGAUUGUCAGCUAACACCCCGUUGGUGGAUAAGCAUCUGCGAGAUGUGCAGGAAACAAGGCCGGGGUGUGAGCAUAACAUAACGCUGUAACAACAUUGCACAAGACUGCCUCAGUACUGCAUGCCAGCAUACGGACCGACCAUCUCGCUGACAGGCAUUUGGAUGGUGAUUAUUGCUGGAUCAUGUCCCGGAAUCAGGCUUGAAGCCAGAGGAACUGGAAAAUGAUUUUUGUUGUUCAACUCCUUGGAAGCCCAUGUGGAAAAUUUAGCAGAGCACAUUUUUGUUUCUAGUAACAGAACUCAUAUAUCAUUUGAGGAAGAGAGAGUGAAGUGGGAUAUUUCCUGAACCACUUGUCUUGCCUUGAAGCUGGUUUUCUGUGGAACAGUCGAAUUUUCUUUCAGAGCUGGCUGAGGAGUUUUGAGGUAGGGAGCAGUCGACAGUCCCACAUUCCCCAAGCUCCUCCACACCUAAUCUAAGCACAGGCAAGACCUUUUCCAGGUGACAAAGAAACAGUCAGUCCCAAAGCACCACCAGUUUUAAUGACUAAAAGCCACUAUGUAUGGUUAAACUAGACAAUGAAUUGUGGUUUGUGAGGUGUAUCUGGGGCCCGGCUGUCCAGUUCAGAUCUCAACCACAUUACCUUCUGGUUGUAUAACACAGAAUAAGUUGCUCCACCCCCUGCACCCUACCUUUCUUAUGCACAAAAGGAUGGCUUUGU